rfam:Ornithorhynchus anatinus chromosome X5, whole genome shotgun sequence.
AGCAGCGUGGCUGAGUGGAAAGAGCCUGGGCUUGGGAGCCAGAGGUCAUGGGUUCGACUCCCGGCUCUGCCG